rnacentral:rRNA from 1 species
UACGUAGGGUGCGAGCGUUGUCCGGAAUUAUUGGGCGUAAAGAGCUCGUAGGCGGUCUGUCGCGUCUGCUGUGAAAACUCGGGGCUUAACCCCGGGCCUGCAGUGGGUACGGGCAGACUAGAGUGCGGUAGGGGAGACUGGAAUUCCCAGUGUAGCGGUGAAAUGCGUAGAUAUUGGGAGGAACACCGGUGGCGAAGGCGGCUACCUGGACCGGUACUGACGCUGAGGCGCGAAAGCUAGGGUAGCAAACAGG